CCCAGCCUGGGCCUAGGAAGCAGCCUUGGGGACACCAUGGCCUGGACCCCUCUCCUCCUGGGCCUCCUCGCUCACUGCACAGGCUCCGUGGCCUCCUAUGAUCUGACUCAGCCAUCCUCGAUGUCGGUGGCCCUGGGACAGACGGCCCGGAUCACCUGUGGAGGAGACAACAUUGGAAGUAACUUGGUGCACUGGUACCAGCAGACGCCAGGCCAGGCCCCCAGGCUGGUCAUCUAUGAUGAUAACGAGCGGCCCUCAGGGAUCCCUGACCGAUUCUCAGGCUCCAACUCAGGGAACACGGCCGCCCUGACCAUCAGCAGGACCCAGGCUGGGGACGAGGCCGACUAUUACUGUCAGGUGCGGGACAGCAGUGACAUUGCUCACAGUGACACAGGCAGACGGGGAAAAGAGUUACAGUGUUCCCAGAUCUUACUAUUCUACGAAAUGCAGGCCCAGAGACGGCAGGCCAGCCUUGAACAUGGAUCCAGCAGUUGGACCUGCCCCAUGUCCCUGAGACUGAGGAGUGAGGAGGGUGCCCUGGUCCACACCUUCUCAGAUGACAUCGACGGCCUCUCACCAGGGUCACCUCUGACCAUAACCAGGCUCCGGGAAGGUCAACAGCCCCAUGAACUUGACUCAGGACAGAUCACAGGGAAAAGCAUUUGGGACAGUGACUACGUGGUCAGGAUGUCAUUGUAG